GAUGAAGAACGCAGCGAAAUGCGAUACUUGGUGUGAAUUGCAGAAUCCCGUGAACCAUCGAGUCUUUGAACGCAAGUUGCGCCCGAAGCCAUUAGGCCGAGGGCACGCCUGCCUGGGCGUCACACGUCGUUGCCCCCCCAUCUACUCCUUCGGGAUUGCGGGGGGCGGAUGAUGGCCUCCCGUGCGCCUUGUCGCGCGGUUGGCAUAAAUACCAAGUCCUCGGCGACGCACGCCACGACAAUCGGUGGUUGCGAAACCUCGGUUGCCUGUCGUGUGCGGUCGUCGCGCAUCGAGGGCUCGAAAAAAUUGUCAGGCUCCGGCUCGGCUUUCAACGCGACCCCAGGUCAGGCGGGGUUACCCGCUGAAUUUAAGCAUAUCAAAAGCGGAGGA
rnacentral:misc_RNA from 1 species